CCUACGUGAGGCAGCAGUGGGGAAUAUUGCACAAUGGGGGAAACCCUGAUGCAGCGACGCCGCGUGAGCGAUGAAGUAUUUCGGUAUGUAAAGCUCUAUCAGCAGGGAAGAAAAUGACGGUACCUGACUAAGAAGCCCCGGCUAACUACGUGCCAGCAGCCGCGGUAAUACGUAGGGGGCAAGCGUUAUCCGGAUUUACUUGGUGUAAAGGGAGCGUAGACGGCGGUGCAAGCCAGAUGUGAAAGCACGGGGCUCAACCCCGGGACUGCAUUUGGAACUGUGCUGCGAGGGUGUCGUAGAGGCAGGCGGAAUUCCUAGUGUAGCGGUGAAAUGCGUAGAUAUUAGGAGGAACACCAGUGGCGAAGGCGGCCUGCUGGACGAUGACUGACGUUGAGGCUCGAAAGCGUGGGGAGCAAACAGGAUUAGAUACCCCUGUAGUC
rnacentral:rRNA from 1 species